GCAGCAAAUGGCUGCACAGCACUGGGUUCCUGGAAGCCCUGUUGUUUUUGGAAGGACCCUCUCUGACUUGCGAAGCAUCUUCCCUGAGGCAGCCUGAAGUUGGAAGAGGUCUGAAGUUAUUAGCUACCUGAGAUCUUCAGUAAGACACAGCUUGUGGGGAAAGCCACGGAUUCAAAAGGAGGCCCGAAAUGGUCCAAAUCAUAGAAUGAUUAAGAUUGGAAAGACCAUUAAGGUAAUCUAGUCCAACCAUCCACCCAUCCCACCAUGCCCAGAAAAACAUAUCCCUCAGUGCCACAUCUCUACG
ensembl:lncRNA